rnacentral:rRNA from 1 species
UACGUAGGGGGCAAGCGUUGUCCGGAUUUAUUGGGCGUAAAGAGCGUGUAGGCGGCCAGGUAGGUCUGCUGUGAAAACUCGAGGCUUAACCUCGAGCUGUCGGCGGAAACCAUCAGACUAGAGUCCGGAAGAGGAGAGUGGAAUUCCUGGUGUAGCGGUGAAAUGCGCAGAUAUCAGGAAGAACACCCGUGGCGAAGGCGGCUCUCUAGUACGGUACUGACGCUGAGACGCGAAAGCGUGGGGAGCGAACAGG